AGAAUCAACGCUGGCGGCGUGCCUAACACAUGCAAGUCGCACGAGAAAGGGACUUCGGUCCUGAGUAAAGUGGCGCACGGGUGAGUAACACGUGAAUCAUCUACCUCCGAAUGGGGGAAUAACUGAGAGAAAUCUUAGCUAAUACCGCAUAAUACCUACGGGUCAAAGCAGCAAUGCGUUUGGAGAGGAGUUCGCGGUCGAUUAGUUAGUUGGCGGGUAAUGGCCCACCAAGACGAUGAUCGAUA
rnacentral:rRNA from 1 species